AAGCCUCACCACCGACUGGAACUUCUGGUGCCUUCUCUCGCUCUUGAGCGAAUGGCUGGAUGGUUGGAGCCGCCAUCCAUUCGGGUGUAGGUGAUGCCCGAGAUAUUGUCGGCCCCAUGCUAGUCGAUUCUGGAUCAGGUGUGGAUGUGCUUGAGAUACUGUCGGCCCCUCGUUGGCCGGCUUUGAAUCGAUGACCACGACAACGUCAUGAUCGCUUGGUUGCCUAACAGAUGAUAAGGCUUCAGGUGGCAGAAGGACCACUGAGGCUGACAAUGCGACAACUACUUCGACGAUGACCU
rnacentral:lncRNA from 1 species